CUUUCAUAAUAAUAAGUCUGUGUCAUUAUUGGGGAGAUGAUGGUCCCAAAGAAAAAUCUGUCUGUAUCUGGGUUCUAUAAGAAAGCAAGCCAGUAAACAGCUUUCCUCCAUGGUUUCUGAUUUUGCUCCUGAUUGAAUUGCUGCCCUGACUUCCCUUACUGAUGGCCUGUGAUUGAGAUGUGUAAAGCAAAUAAAUCCUGUAGCUAGAGUAUUCCUGUGUCCACCCGGCUCCUGCAGCCGCUCAGACCCAAUUAAACACACAGAGACUUAUAUUACUUAUAAACUGUAUGGCUGUGGCAAGCUUCUUGUUAUCUAGUUUUUAUAUCUUAAAUUAACCCAUUUCUAUUCAUCAAUAAGUUACCACAUGGCUUGUGGUUUACUGGUACAUUACAUCUUGUUUCUCAUGGCGGCAGCUGGCAGCAUCUCCUGACUCAGCCUUCCACUUCCCAGAAUUCUCCUCUCUCUUUGUCCCGCCUCUACUUCCUGCCUGGCUACUGGCUAAUCAGCACUUUAUUUAUUAACCAAUCAGAAUAACACAUUCACAGCAUAGAGAACAUCCCACAGCAAAAUCCUUUCUUCCCAGGUUGCUUCUGGUUAAGGUGUUUAUCACAACAACAGAAAGUCAACUACAAUAAGCACUUACUAUGAAGCUCAAGCCCAGUGAUCUUACUCACCCUCGUUUCACUCUCUAUACCCAACAUCGACCAGCAGAAAAAUAGACCCAAAUGGACUGUGGAUCUGGAUGGAUUCAAAACCAAGAUCUGACACUACACGUGUGAACCUCUGAGAAGCGUCUGCGGGGUGCCAAGUAGACAAGGCUAUGAUGGCACCAGUGAUCACGUGGUGUGGAAAACCAAGGCCCUAUGCGAGUUCACAGUGAAGACUCAUCUUCUUUCAUCUCUCUGCCUGGAAAAGUGGCUUCAAGAUGCAUCUUGAGUGAUAAAGAGGGUACCACAUCUCAGAAAGACAAUCAUCUGGUUGCUCCAGGAAUGGGGGAAGGCACACUGGAGAGCUCUAGGCCUCAGCAGGAGAUAAGACCUACUUAUCUACACAGUCCUUAGGUACCUGAAUUGCAGCUGAACCCAUAACUAGAACUUUAACAGGUGAGGCUUAUUUUACUUGCCCAGCGCUCCCAGGUAUAUAGGUGUUCCAGGGAAUCUUGUCUACUCUAGGUGCUUCUGGACACCAGUGGUUGACUGGAAAGUCUGGCUCCAAGAGAUGCCGAGGGAGGUCAGGCAAAUGAGCAGAUCCCUUCACUUCCGUUCCUGGCUGUGUCCUUUGCCUGAAGCUAACGUGCCUUUUGCAUUCAGUUUCCCAGACAUUGUCUUCCCACUCUCCUCAUCCCUACAUCCUCCUUUGGGGUCACACCCUAGUGAGCAGGUGGUUUGGCUCUGCUCAUCUCAAACUCGUGUGUGAGCCUUAUUUCAAGGAUUGGAGCAUCAGGUGGCUCAAGUACGGUCAUGCCGGGCGGCUGUUACUCACUCCUGGGAACUGGAAGACAUUCAAGAGCUAAUGCCUUUGUUGGGACAAGAUGCUGACAGGCUACUUUCUACGCCGGCAAAGUCAAGUCUCUUCUUGGUAUGCAGGAAAUGAUAACUAGGUCACAAGAGAGGCAGGACUCUGAGAUCCGCAGCCAUAGCUGCAAGAGUCGAAGCAAAGGAGGAAAGGUAGUGGCAUCCUUAGACCUCUGGCUAAAUGGCACACGUGCUGGGGAAACUUUCGUAGGAUGGUAUCAUGCCGAGUGUAGGAGGAUUGCAAAUAUUUUUUGGAAUGUCAGGCAAGAAGAGGGGUGUGUGGGUUUUAUUUUAUUUUUUUAAGCCACUUGAUCAAAGAAAUGACUACAGGUGCCCAGAGGUAUCUUAGCACAUUUGGGAGCUUCCAAGAUGUUUUUGCAUCAAGUAAAAACAUUUUCAACUAAUUAACUAUUAAUAAAUAAAUAAAUGAAUUAAUUAAUAUUCCACUCCUCCCGUUUCCAGAAUGUGUAUUUUCCUUCUUACUCAAAAAAUGGUCUUACUUAUGUCACGACAAGUUUUGAGAUAACUGUGUGGAGAGAUGAACAAAUUCAUUGUAUCUUUUGAUAAAGUGUAAUGUGUCAGAUUCUCAUACCCCACCACAUUAUUUUUAAUAAACAUAAUGAGGACAGAGAAUUAAUUCUUGAA